rnacentral:rRNA from 1 species
CCUACGGGGGGCUGCAGUGGGGAAUAUUGCACAAUGGGCGCAAGCCUGAUGCAGCCAUGCCGCGUGUGUGAAGAAGGCCUUCGGGUUGUAAAGCACUUUCAGCGGGGAGGAAGGCGGUGAGGUUAAUAACCUCAUCGAUUGACGUUACCCGCAGAAGAAGCACCGGCUAACUCCGUGCCAGCAGCCGCGGUAAUACGGAGGGUGCAAGCGUUAAUCGGAAUUACUGGGCGUAAAGCGCACGCAGGCGGUCUGUCAAGUCGGAUGUGAAAUCCCCGGGCUCAACCUGGAAACUGCAUUCGAAACUGGCAGGCUAGAGUCUUGUAGAGGGGGGUAGAAUUCCAGGUGUAGCGGUGAAAUGCGUAGAGAUCUGGAGGAAUACCGGUGGCGAAGGCGGCCCCCUGGACAAAGACUGACGCUCAGGUGCGAAAGCGUGGGGAGCAAACAGGAUUAGAUACCCGAGUAGUC